GUGAGUCAUCGAAUCUUUGAACGCACCUUGCGCUCCUUGGUAUUCCGAGGAGCAUGCCUGUUUGAGUGUCAUGAAAUCAUCAACCUUCUCAGCUUUUGCGGAGUAGGAUUGGACUUGGGAGUCUGCUGGCUAGUAAUGGUCAGCUCUCCUUGAAUGCAUUAGCUGGAUGUUAUCUGUGCGAUCCGCGGUGUGAUAAGUAUUUCACCCUUGUGUCAAUCGGAGUUUGCGUCUGGCUUCUAAUGGUCUUCGGACAAUCUUGACAAUUUGACCUCAAAUCAGGUAGGACUACCCGCUGAACUUAAGCAUAUCAAUAAGCGGAGGA
rnacentral:misc_RNA from 1 species